rnacentral:rRNA from 1 species
UGAGGAACAUGACCUUCGGCGGGGGAUAGCCGGCCCAACGGCCGGGUAAUACCGCGUACGACCACAUGGGGACAUCCCUGAGUGGUGAAAGCAGCAAUGCGCCGAUGGAGUGCCUCGCGGCCUAUCAGCUAGUUGGUGAGGUAACGCUCACCAAGGCGACGACGGGUAGCUGGUCCGAGAGGAUGACCAGCCACAUUGGGACUGAGACACGGCCCAGACCUCCGUAGGGAGG